AACGAACGCUGGCGGCAUGCUUAACACAUGCAAGUCGAAUGCUGACCUUAAGCUUGCUUAAGGUUGGAGUGGCAGACGGGUGAGUAACGCGUGGGAAUGUACCCUUUAGUUCUGGACAACCACUGGAAACGGUGGCUAAUACAGGAUACGACCGGAAGGUGAAAGGUUUACUGCUACAGGAGCAGCCCGCGUUAGAUUAGGUAGUUGGUGAGGUAACGGCUCACCAAGCCGAUGAUAUAUAGCUGGUUUGAGAGGACGACCAGCCACACUGGGACUGAGACACGGCCCAGCCACCUACGGGAGGCAGCAGUGGGGAAUAUUGGACAAUGGGGGCAACCCUGAUCCAGCAAUGCCGCGUGAGUGAUGAAGUCCUUCGGGUUGUAAAGCUCUUUUCUUGGGGAAGAACAUGACGGUACCCAAGGAAUAAGCUCCGGCUAACUUCGUGCCAGCCGCCGCCGUAA
rnacentral:rRNA from 1 species